rnacentral:rRNA from 1 species
UACGUAGGGGGCUAGCGUUGUCCGGAAUCAUUGGGCGUAAAGCGCGUGUAGGCGGUCCGGUAAGUCCGCUGUGAAAGUCCAGGGCUCAACCCUGGAAAGCGGGUGGAUACUGCCGGGCUAGAAUCCGGAAGAGGCGAGUGGAAUUCCUGGUGUAGCGGUGGAAUGCGCAGAUAUCAGGAGGAACACCAAUAGCGAAGGCAGCUCGCUGGGACGGUAUUGACGCUAAGGCGCGAAAGCGUGGGGAGCAAACAGG